AUGCUAGCUUCAGCAGUAUAUAUACUAAAAUUGGAAUUAUAUGAAGAAGAUUAGCAUGGCCCUUGUGCAAAGAUGACACACAAAUUUGUGAAGUAUUCCAUAUUAUU
rnacentral:snRNA from 1 species